rnacentral:rRNA from 1 species
GUGGGGAAUUUUGGACAAUGGGCGAAAGCCUGAUCCAGCAAUGCCGCGUGCAGGAUGAAGGCCCUCGGGUUGUAAACUGCUUUUGUACGGAACGAAAAGCCUGGGGCUAAUAUCCCCGGGUCAUGACGGUACCGUAAGAAUAAGCACCGGCUAACUACGUGCCAGCAGCCGCGGUAAUACGUAGGGUGCAAGCGUUAAUCGGAAUUACUGGGCGUAAAGCGUGCGCAGGCGGUUUUGUAAGACAGUGGUGAAAUCCCCGGGCUCAACCUGGGAACUGCCAUUGUGACUGCAAGGCUAGAGUGCGGCAGAGGGGGAUGGAAUUCCGCGUGUAGCAGUGAAAUGCGUAGAUAUGCGGAGGAACACCGAUGGCGAAGGCAAUCCCCUGGGCCUGCACUGACGCUCAUGCACGAAAGCGUGGGGAGCAAACAGGAUUAGAUACCCGAGUAGUCC